CUUUGUAUUGAAGGGGUUGCAGCAAAAAUCUACAUUUCCUUUUCAUCUUGCACAUAGGGAUGGCCAAUGAGAGAAGAAAGUGCUGGAACGAGCAAGGCGCAUCCCUGUAAGAUGUAGUUCGGGAAGUGGAAUGCACAUCUACAGCUGAUCAACAGGCAUCUCUCUGGAAGGAGCAGACCUUCAGUGGGUGAGGGAUGAGCAGAGCUUAAGAUCAAGCCCCAGGGACAAAGACACAGCACACCUGAAAACGUCUGAGCAAACAUUUCCUGACAAAGAGUGUGUAAAAAUCAGCAGGGAACGCGUGUGCUCCUCGAGGGCUCUCCAGGC